UACAGAGGUCUCAAGCGUUGUUCGGAAUCACUGGGCGUAAAGGGUGCGUAGGCCGCACGGUAAGUCAGAGGUGAAAUCCCGGAGCUCAACUCCGGAAAUGCCUCCGAUACUGCCGUGCUUGAGGACUGGAGAGGAGUCUGGAAUUCACAGUGGAGCAGUGAAAUGCGUAGAUAUUGUGAGGAACACUAGUGGCGAGGGCGAGACUCUGGACAGUUCCUGACGCUGAGGCACGAAGGCCAGGGGAGCAAACGGG
rnacentral:rRNA from 1 species